CAGUUUUGAGUGUAGCAGGGUGCUGCUUCCAGAUAUGGAACUACACUGAGCACUAGAGAGCACCUCAACCUGUUCUUAUAUGCCAGCAUCUCCUCUCUGCCAUUGAUACAAUAGAAAGAAGCAAAACCGAUGCGACACAGAGCCAAUGAUUUAAACUGAAGUCUUGCUCCUUCCUCUUCCAUGUAAGUGGACAUCUAACAAAAUUGCCAGAACUAAUCUCUGAGGUACCUGAACAUCAGUUGUAAUUUUGGAAUAACUCUAGGCCCAACUGGGAAGAUGGUACCCUUACUAAUGAAG